rnacentral:lncRNA from 1 species
CUUCACUUUAGGCUUUUCUUUAUGUAACUUUGGCCCAUAGGCUAGAUUAUGCUCCUUAAGUCAUAAUUGCAAGUGUUGCACUAAAUCUGCCCCAUAUGAAUUGAAACACGCUCUAAAUUUAUUUGGAUCAUAUGAAUAUGAUUUUGAAUCCCUUUUAGAUGUAUUUGAAUGAUAUAAGGUUGCUUCAUACUAUUAGUGCAAAUAUACUCUAUUGGAUACAUAUCAUUCCCUCCUUCUUUAGAAAAGAUUUAUCCUCAAAUCUUGCUCAUGUUCAUG